GAUGAACGCUGGCUACAGGCUUAACACAUGCAAGUCGUGGGGAAACGGCAUUAUGUGCUUGCACAUUCUGGACGUCGACCGGCGCACGGGUGAGUAUCGCGUAUCCAACCUGCCCCUUACUUGGGGAUACCCCGUUGAAAGACGGCCUAAUACCCGAUGUGUUUCAUUGACGGCAUCCGAUAUGAAACAAAGGUUUUUCCGGUAAGGGAUGGGGAUGCGUCUGAUUAGCUAGUUGGCGGGGCAACGGCCCACCAAGGCGACGAUCAGUAGGGGUUCUGAGAGGAAGGUCCCCCACAUUGGAACUGAGACACGGUCCAAACUCCUACGGGAGGCAGCAGUGAGGAAUAUUGGUCAAUGGACGCAAGUCUGAACCAGCCAAGUAGCGUGCAGGAUGACGGCCCUAUGGGUUGUAAACUGCUUUUAUGUGGGAAUAAAGUGGUGCACGUGUGCGCCAUUGCAUGUAC
rnacentral:rRNA from 1 species